UGAGGGAAUAUUGGGUCAAUGGCCGCAAGGCUGAACCAGCCAAGUAGCGUGCAGGAUGACGGCCCUCGGGUUGUAAACUGCUUUUAGUCGGGAAUAAAAGGGCGCACGUGUGCGCCGUAUUGCAAGUACCGUCAGAAAAAGGACCGGCUAAUUCCGUGCCAGCAGCCGCGGUAAUACGGAAGGUCCGGGCGUUAUCCGGAUUUAUUGGGUUUAAAGGGAGCGCAGGCCGUGGGUUAAGCGUGUCGUGAAAUUCCGUCGCUCAACGGCGGACGUGCGGCGCGAACUGGUCCACUUGAGUACGCGGGACGUUGGCGGAAUUCGUGGUGUAGCGGUGAAAUGCUUGGAUAUCACGAAGAACUCCGAUUGCGAAGGCAGCUGACGGUAGCGCAACUGACGCUGAGGCUCGAAAGUGCGGGUAUCGAACAGGAUUAGAUACCCUGGUAGU
rnacentral:rRNA from 1 species